rnacentral:rRNA from 1 species
UACGAAGGGUGCAAGCGUUAAUCGGAAUUACUGGGCGUAAAGCGUGCGUAGGCGGUUUCUUAAGUCCGUUGUGAAAGCCCUGGGCUCAACCUGGGAACUGCGAUGGAUACUGAGGAGCUGGAGUACGGUAGAGGAAGGUGGAAUUCCGCGUGUAGCAGUGAAAUGCGCAGAUAUCAGGAGGAACACCGAUGGCGAAGGCAGGUCUCUGGGCAUUAACUGACGCUGAGGAGCGAAAGCAUGGGGAGCGAACAGG